CCUACGGGCGGCAGCAGUGAGGAAUAUUGGUCAAUGGACGCAAGCCUGAACCAGCCAUGCCGCGUGCAGGAAGACGGCUCUAUGAGUUGUAAACUGCUUUUGUACGAGGGUAAACGCAGAUACGCGUAUCUGUCUGAAAGUACCGUACGAAAAAGGAUCGGCUAACUCCGUGCCAGCAGCCGCGGUAAUACGGAGGAUUCAAGCGUUAUCCGGAUUUAUUGGGUUUAAAGGGUGCGUAGGCGGUAGGAUAAGUUAGAGGUGAAAUCCAGAGGCUCAACUUCGGAAUUGCCUUUGAUACUGUUCGGCUAGAGAGUAGUAGAGGUAGGCGGAAUGUGUGGUGUAGCGGUGAAAUGCUUAGAGAUCAUACAGAACACCGAUUGCGAAGGCAGCUUACCAGGCUACUUCUGACGUUGAGGCACGAAAGCGUGGGGAGCAAACAGGAUUAGAUACCCCAGUAGUC
rnacentral:rRNA from 1 species